UUACACAAUAUCAUUCUAAAAAAUAAACACACAUCAUCAAAAUCUCAAACCUACAAGACAAUGCAUGAUUAAUUCAAAACAAUGUGAGAAAAUAAGCAUUACAUUUGACAGGGUAAUUGGAAUGCAAAUGGGUUAAAAUUCCUGUUUACUCUAAAGAUGUUUAUUAGUAGGUAACAGUACAUUCUAAUUAUCAUUUCAAUGACAUACAUACAUGUAUGCUUGUAUGUAUGUAUGUGUGUCAAUGUUUUUGCUUUGAUUGCUGUCGUAGGGUUUGCAUAUCCUAAUGACCCAAAGUACUAUACCAGUGAGAAUUUUACAUCCAGCCAGUCCAACCAAGUUGGGAAGGCCUGAAGUGUGGGACCAGAUUAAACAUGAAUCACCAUCAAAUGCAUUUGGAAGCCGUGUGACCAAAGUACAGUUCUGAAUGAGGAAUCAAUUAAGCAAUGAUCAAUGGUGAAACUCACAAGAUCUUGGUAGAUGUAAUCAUAUUGAUGAUAUUGACCAGGGUCACCUAGUUCUGAAAGUAAACCGCAACUAGCAUCUACAGAACUGAUCAUCAUAGAUGUCAUUCAGUUAUAGAAGAUUUUGCAUGAUCUUAUCACUACUACUGCCAAGACAGUUAUACCUACACCAUUCAUCAUGGAGUCAAACAAAGACUGCAUUCUUCUGUGGCUUUCAUUGACUACAGUGUUUGAAAAACCCCAAAAUUCAACCUGAGCAAUCUUGACCCAAUGAUGAUGAUACAGUUAUAUAGCUAUGUGUGUACAUGUGUGUGAGAGGGAGAUGUUAAAAGAACGUCCAUUGUCCAUGCUGGCAUGGGUUGACUGGUUUGACCGGGGCUGGUAAGCUGGAAGGCUGCACCAGACUCCAGUCAGAUUAUAUAUAUAUACGAGCAAAACGCCCCCUCCGCCCGUCCAAUGGACGGUGCUGAGUUGUCAAACAUUUAAACCAAAUUUUCUCAAAACAAUUUGUCAAACCGUCCCAUAGGCCUCCCCUUUGAGAAACACUGAUUUAACUUAAAUUUGAAACCCCAGCAAAAGACGGAUUUUGACUGAUGUACUUGUGCGUACAAAUGCACGUUCCCAUGGCUUUAUCGAUUGCAUUCUCACCUGGAAUCGAUUUUUGUAAUUUUUUCAAGACUUAUACACACCCUGAUACCAUCGGUAUAUUACAUAUCAAAUUUGAGCGCAAUCAGAUGGAGGAUACCCAAGAUCCUAGAAGACACACACACAGACAGAAUGGAUUUUAUAUAAUAUAUAUAUAUAUAUAUAUAUAUAUAUAUAUAUAUAUACACACACACACACAUACAUACAAUGACAUAUCAAAUUUGAGCGCAAUCAGAUGGAGGAUACCCAAGAUCCUAGAAGACACACACACAGACAGAAUGGAUUUUAUAUAAUAUAUAUAUAUAUAUAUAUGUAUAUAUACAUAUACACAUAUACACACGUACAUACAAUGACAUUCAUUUACUAACACAACCAAGUGUACUGAUAAUUAAUGAUAUAAAUGUGAGUUUAUAAUCAUUGUAGAGAAACUGUAGCUUUGAAAGUUAAGUUAGUCCACAUUACUCUGUGAGGAACAUUGAGCUGGUUUCCUGGUUUCUCUGGCAUAUACAUUCAUCCCUGGACAGGCGCCAGUCUGUUGCAGGGUCACUCAAUUUUACCAGCUGAGUGGACUCGAGCAACAUGAAAUGAAGUGUUUUGCCCAGUCCAGGAACUGAAACCACAAUCUUACGAUCAUAAGCCCAACACCCUGACCACAAAGCUAAGUAGUUGUCCAUAAAUGUUCUCCUUCUUACUGAUUUUGGAUUGUGCUGAUGUCAUGUAAAAAGCACCCAGUACACUCUGUAAAGUAGUUGGUGUUAGGAAGGGCAUCCAGCUGUAGGAACCCUGCCAAAUCAGACAACUGGAGCCUAGCCACCUCUCCAGAUGGUCAACUCCUCUCAAACCAUCCAACUUAUGCCAGCAUGGAAAAGAAACGUUAAAUGAUGAAGCUCACAUCUACAGGGCAGCUAACCUUUAUGACUCUGCAUAGUUUUUUUCUUUUCUGUCCCAAAUAACUCUAUCAAACUUGUUGCAUUUGCACUUGGUAGGAGCUUCAAUGCUGUUACUUCACCAAUAUUCCCUGAAUUGCUAUACUCUUUUACUUGUUUCAGUCAUUUGACCGUAGCCAUGCUGGAGCACUGCCUUUAGUCGAGUAAAUCGACCCCAGGACUUAUUCUUUGUAAGCCUAGUAGUUAUUCUAUCGGUCUCUUUGCCGAACUGCUAAGUUGUGGGGUUGUUAAGCAAUGUUGGGGGGGGGGGGGACAAACAGACACACACACAUAUACAUAUACAUAUAUAUGUCCAACCCAUGCUAGCAUGGAAAACGGACGUUAAAUGAUGAUGUUGAUAUAUAUAUAUAUAUAUAUAUGAUGGGCAUCUUUCAGUUUCUGUCUACCAAAUCCACACACAAGGCUUUGGUCGGCCCGAGGCUAUAGUAGAAGACACUUGCCCAAAGCGCCAUGCAGUGGGACUGAACCCGUAACCAUGUGGUUCAUAAGCAAGCUACUUACCACAACAGACAUGAUGUAUAUAUUUAUUUGAGAGCAGUCUUUUUUUGGGGAUGGCAUCGUACAUUGUUUUCGAAACAACAUCAUGACAUAAUGGGCAAAAGUACCUCAAUGACAUUUUUGGGCAGCUGCUGAUUGCAUGUGUUACAUCCUCUACAGAAGUGUGGUGGCGUGAUUGACAUCUGACAUCUUCAUUUGCAUCGUAAGAGCUUAAACAUUUCAAUGCCUCAUUUAUUCAUUAAAUAUUUUGUAGCUAUUUCCUAAUUUCAGAUAUCAAAAACAUAGUCUUCAAGAUGUUGAUGUGAUGUAAUGGUCACAAGUCCAAAAGAGAGGUUACACUUCAUAAUAAUAUUAUUAAUCUCCUUAAGUUUAAGGGAAACACCCUUGCAUAACUUUUUUUCUGGUAUGCAGAGUAUUAUUAGUCUUUGUUGAAGUAUGCAAGUCUGGCACUUCUGGGUUCACUCGGGAGGUCAGUAGAAAGCAAGUGCUUCUUAAGGAGUUCGCUGCCACCCGACAGGAUGUUAUUCAUUUUGUUUUCGAGCACUUGGUUGUGAUAUAAAAAUUAGUUUCAAUAAAAAAGUCAACGUCUUGUGUCAGUAACGAACAAUGAGGCUCUGUCCUGGUGCCUUCCCAUUAUGCUUUGGUGACAGUUUCAGCAUUGACCAUGUAGGUUUUUCUGUUGAUGUUGGUACACUAUUCUUGUUUCAUUGUGCCUAGCCAUGUUGAAUUCUAAUUAAAAAUCUUCCCUUUCAUUCCAGAUCUGUUCAUAUAAAUGCAUGCAUAUAUAUAUAUAUAUAUAUAUAUAUAUAAUCAUCAUCGUUUAACGUCCGCUUUCCAUGCUAGCAUGGGUUGGACGAACCUAUGCAAGUAAAUAUAUAUAUAUAUAUAUAUAUAUACACACACAUAUGUAUGUAUGUAUGAUCGUACAUGUAGAUAUAUAUCUAUACACACACACUUUUUCUUAACUGAUCAAUGAACCGAUUGAGUAAACCUAUCAAUAGUGAACCUAUAACGAUUACUGGAAACAUCUGUAAGUCAAAUUUAUUGCAAUAAAGGAAAAUAUGGAAUGACCAUUAUUUAUACCUUGUUUUAUAUAUACACAUAUGUGUGCAUGUGUGUAUAUAAAGUGCAAGUGGAAGCAUAAUAAUUCUUGAACUCAGUGGAAAAUUCUUCAGUGUUGACGUUGUGACCAACAACGGAAAGUGAAUGAAUCCCACAACAUCACGCCGCCUUUCCCUGUCUCUAGCAAUCUGUCUAUCUGAAGACUUCGUCAUGAAAAGCGAAGAUCACAACCAUGAUGACGAUAACGACAACGAUAACCACGAAAUUGAUGAUGAUUAAAACGUAUCUGUUGCAUCCGAUUCUUAUUUUGACGUUUAAAUAUUCGUUGCCGUUAUUGCUUAACCGCAGGCCAAAACAUAUGGUCAAUCGCCUACUAUGUAACUCUCCCCUCUUUUUCUUUCAUAUUCGUCCUUCCUCGUUUUAAGAUGACAGGGUAUGACGUAAGGCGAUUCGGCUGCUCUUUCUAAUAAGUCAAGUGAUCAAGUGCUUGUGUUGGCGAGACAUAUUAGCGCCACAGCAUCUAAUCAUUUCUGUAUGUUAAAAUGACGAAGAGGAAUAAAGAAUCGUUUUUAAUUCAUUUAAUUCAUAAUGUGUAUGUUUAUUAAGAAUAUAUUUCUAAUUGUGUGUAUAAAAAAUGAGAGCGUGAAUGUAAAAGAAAUAUGUACUAGAGUGUAUAUAUUAAUGUAUAAAGAGAGAUACACAUCGUUGAAAGCAUGUGUAUAUGUGUGUAUGUAUGUAAUUAUGUAUGAAUUAUGUAUGUAAUUAUGUAAGUGUAUGCAUGUAAUUAUGUACGCGUAUGAAUGUGCGUGUAUGUAUGCAAUUAUGUAUGUGUGUGUGUAUGAUAACCUGUCGCAUUUUCCCAUUAUUUCCAUUAUGUAGACAUUUCGUACAUCAAUUAUUUAUUAAAUUAACAAAGCAUAAAUGAAUAAAAAAUAAGUACAUUGCUUUAAUAUAAUUAAGGGGGUUGGCGGUUAUAUAUGAGCUAAUCUCAUAUGUAUGUAUAAUAAUACAUACACACACACACAUUUAUAUAAUAUAUUUAUAUAUAUAUAUAAAAUAUAUAAUAUAUAUAUAAAAUAUAUAAUAUAUAUAAAAGCUAAUCCCCUUCCAUCCCUUAUCCUGUAGAUAUUUGUAUAUUUGUGUCAAUUUAACAGCAACUGAGAAUGAAAGAACAAAAAAAAUUUAAGGAAGAACCCGGUUACAGUCGAUAAUUUCCUUGGGAUAUUUUUAUCAUUCACAGAAAUAACCAAAAACACACGUUCAUACAUUAGUUGAGCUUCUAGUGACUCAAGAGCUUAGAGUUUCGUUUCAAUAUAUGAAGAUCGCACUCUUCUUCAAUACACAUACACAUGUAUAUAUACACACAUGUAAUAUGUAUGUGUGUAUACCACACACAUAUAUAUAUAUAUACACACACACACAUACAUAUUAUAAAUACGUAUGUAUAUAUAUAUAUGUAUGAAUAUAUAUAAUGUAUGUGUGUUUUUAAAGGAAAUUGACAGUGCGUGUAUGUAUGUAAUGGAUAUUAUUUCAAAGAUUAUGGAUGGAUCGAUAUAUUAAAAAUGUAUGACUAUACUAUAAACGUAUUUAUGUGAAUGGAAGGGGGAUGUAUCACUAAUACGAAAUUUUCAGCGAUCUAUCUAUCUCUCCGUCUACCUAUCUAUUUAAUAAAUUACACAGUAGAUGUCCGCUUAUUAUACUUUAUUACCGCACUAAUCAGAUUAAUAAAGCAACCGCCAAGAAAGCGCCAUGUUGUGUGUCACUUUCGCUUUUAUCCUUGUUUCCAAUAUUUGCACGCUUUCUUCUUUACGUUGCUGCCUGAUUCCGUUUUUUUUUUCUCCCUUCUUCUAUUCUUGCAAUGAGCGGUUGGCUAGGUUGAUGUCAUCGAUCCGGUUCUCCGUGGUGCCGCCGCUACUUCCACCACCACUACGCUGAACUACAUGAUAUAUUAAUAUAUAUAUAUAUAUAUAUAUAUAUAUAUAUAUAUCUAUAUAUCAUAUAUUAUAUAUGUAUAUAUAUAUAUAUAUAUAUAUAUAUAUAUCAUAUAAUAUAUAUAUAUAUUUAUAUAUCAUAUAUUAUAUAUAUAUAUAUAUAUAUUAUAUAUAUAUAUAUAUAUAUAUAUAUAUAUUAUAUAUCAUAUUAUAUAUAUAAUAUGUAUUUUAUAUAUAUAUAUAUAUAUAUAUAUAUAUAUAUAUAUAUACGUGGAUAUACGUGAAUAUAUUAUCAGUAUAUUAUAUAUCGUAUAUAUCAUACACGUUCGGGCGCACGAAGAAGCUUUUAUGGUUGCUUGACAUGCUAGAGACAGCAGCCAAAUUUCUAUCAAAGCACAUCCUUCUAUCAAGGAAAGGACAAAAGAAAAAAAAAAAAGCACAUAUUUGAUAAUGUAGUCCAGGAUACACAAUUUCAAGGAGGGAAAAACUGGGUCGAUAUGAUUGGAAUACAUUUCAGACCAUUAUCUCUAUUAGCGCCGUCUUGGAUCAAAACAUACAUAUACAUACAUAUAUAUAUAUAUAUAUAUAUAUAUAUAUAUAUAUAUAUAUAUAUAUAUAUAUAUAUAUAUAUAUAUAUAUAUAUAUGUAUGUAUAUAUAUAUAUGUAUAUAUUACCCACAUAUAUACAUACACGCACAUGCAUUAUAUAUCUAUACACACAAACAUAUGUUAUAUAUAUGGUCUUUGAUUUAGUAGAAAUUAAUUAAAUCUAGGUUCCUGCAGGGAGGAUUCUGAGACAUUUAUGCCUUUCCCAGGUAUAUUUAAUUUCAAUAACGGAAGUGAAUCCAUAGAAUACCAAAUCUGACUCAAAUUUAAAAAUUUCUUUCUAAAAUUUCUUUCAAACCAUUUAAAAAAAAAAAUGUACUUCUCACAUCAUUCGAUUCAUAGCAGGGAGUGGGGGAGAAAACGUAUGAUAUACGACAUGAUGUGGCUUUCAUGCCUUUCCCAAAGACAUUAUUAAUAAGAUAAAGGAUGUUUUGUAGUUCUGAGCGGGAAGCGAAGUAUUGACGCGCACCGACUCCUAUCAACACCGGCGCCCAACCAGAACAGUUAGAAUAAUAUAUGAAUAAACUGUCAUUUUUUUUUUCAAGUCUCUUCCCAACCAAAUAAGGAAAACGAAUUAAAAUUCCGCUCAAUUUGUUUUAAGGUGUGAGGAGUGAUGAUCAUUGAAAUAACUAUUGUCUGCCGCUUACAGACGGCAGUCAAUGCGACUAAGCGCGUGAGUUUAUAUAUAUAUAUAUGUAUACAUACAUAUAUAUAUAUAAUGAAACGAGUAAAAGAUUAAAUUUAAAAGCGUAUUGUAUAUAUAUAUAUAUAUAUAUAUAUAUAUAAAUGUAUGUUUGUAUGUAUGUAUGUAUGUAUGUAUGUGUGUGUGUGUGUGUGUAUGUAUGUAUGUAUGUAUCUGAAACGAGUAAAAGAUAAACUAUAAUAGCAUAUAUAUAUAUAUAUAUAUAUAUAUAUACAUAUAAUAGCAUAUAUAUAUAUAUAUAUAUAUAUAUAUAUACAUACAUAUAUAUGUAUAUAUAUAUAUAUAUGUAUAUAUAUAUAUAUAUAUUAGAAGAAAUGAGGUAAUAUAUAUAUAUAUAUAUAUAUAUAUAUAUAUAUGUAUAUAUAUGUAUAUAAUGCUUUAAAACAAGGGAGGAUUGUGGCAAUUAGCGGUAUAUGUGUGUGGUUUUAAAUACCGGUUUUUACAGAUACCGGAGUAUAAUGUCAAUCCAUACUUUAAUUUUAAUGCCUAUAUUUAUUUAAACCUUGUGGUCUGCGACCACACCUAAACUUGUAUUCAAAUAAAGACGAAACAGGCCUUUUUUUUUUUUAAAUAAAAAACGUCAUUACGUCCUCUCAUCUCUCAAGAAAGAAAAUAUAACAUAUAUAUAUGCUGCUCUACAUCUAAGAGUGUGCUUCUCCGGAUUUAUGUUUUCUACAAAUGAUUAUAUAUACAUAUAUAUGUGUAUAUAUACAUCUAUCUAUCUAUCUAUCUAUCUAUCUAUCUAUCUAUCUAUCUAUCUAUCUAUCUAUCUCCCCCCCUCUCUAUAAUAUACAUGCCUUACAGCAAUUAUUCACAUUUCCCGCUCAUGUCUACCCUAAGUAAAAAAAUAAAGCUAGUUUUUUGUGAUUCUUUUAAAAAUUGCUAUUUUCUAUUUUUAAUUUAAAAUAAUAAUAAUUUCUUUAGACCUUAGGUUUUAAGGAACAACAAAGGAGGCAAUAUUCAUGUGAUUCAAUGACUUCCUCAGAAUCUUUAAGGUAACGGGGAAAGGUAGAAGUUUGACUGCAGUUCUUGUAACGGUUCGUGUUGACCGAGGUUUAAUCAACAGCUAAAAUACCAGUUAUAUACUGCGGUUUCUUCCAUACAUCAAAAACACGUUUUUAACACAAACUCACAAAAUAAAUUCAGGGAAACUAAUAAUGUCGCACAAUCUCUUUUUCUACAAUAAAUGUGUAUGACCUUGGCUUCGAUCAGAAAUCACUAUAAUUUUUUUUAACAUCAAUAUUAUUAUUACUAUUUUAUUAUUAUUAUUAUUAUUUUAUUAUUAUUAUUUUUUUUAAAUUUAAAUUUUUUUUAAGGCGGCGAGCUGGCAGAAUUGUUAACGCGCCGGGCAAAGUGCUUGGCGGCAUUUCGUCCGUCUUUACGUUCAAUUCCUGCCGAUGUCGACUUUCAUCCUUUCAUCCUUUCCAGGCCGAUAAAAAAUUAAGAACCAGUUGAACAAUGGAAUCAACUCACCCCCGCCCCCCAGUCCUUUCCACUCGAAAUUGAUGGCCACGUACUAAAAUUUAAAACCCGUACCAUUAUUAUUAAUUGCUUGCCGUUGUGGCUUUAUUAUAUUUAUUACUGACGAGAAAAAUGUAUAACUAUCACACAUUCCCCCCUUUUUUUUUUUUUUACCGACGUCAGAUAUUGCCAGAUAUUAUAUAUAUCUACCUCCCCAUUUGAAUGAAAUCUGACUGCAAAGAUUCAAUUUGCUAGGAAGCACUUCAAUAGACGUUACAACAUCGUAAGUUAUCUUCCUUGGAUAUCUCAUUAUCAUGCGGCUGACAGAGAGACAGAGAGAGAGAGAGGAAGGGGGAGUAGUGCUUUCUACUGCAUUUCAUUAUUACCUCUCCUUCCCUUUUCUCUCUCUCUCUCUCUCUUUCUCGCUCUCAUUUCAAAUUCUGUCACUGCCUUUUUUCUUACAUCCAUCCACCCACACGCGCACGCAUAUCAGCGUGUAUACAUACACACAUACAUACAUACAUACAUACAUACAUACAUACAUACAUACAUACAUACAUACAUACAUACAUACAUACAUACACACACACAUACGUAUUAUACAUAUUACAUAUGCUGAUUAUUUUGGCCUAAUUUUGCAAAGAAAUUCACAAUAAUGAAAAAAAAAGUUGGAAACUAGAUUUAAAUAGGUAACCUUUUAUUUGAUAACAUAAUUUACACAGCUAAAAUACACAUGAAAUAUGUAUUUUCCUAGAAACAUUUAAAAAAGACUAUCACAGGAUUAUGAUUUUUUGCAUGUAGAUGUGUCAGUAAUUUAGUAAAUAAGAACUUAAUUGUCCUUAAUUUAGACAUAAAAAUUCGUAGUUCAUAUUCAGCCAAAUGAGGAAUGGAGAUUAAACUUAUCAAAAGGUAAUGCUUUUUUGAAUUGGAUUACCUUUGUUCAGGCCACUGCGAGAGGAAGGUCUCAGCAUGUCCUCUCAACUGACCAGUCUGAUGUGGAAGUCAUGAAUUUGAGCUUGAGAUCAAAUUGGUUUGAUGAGUCUACUCUGCCACCCUGGCUGGACAUGGCUUUGCAGAGGGGUGCAGUUUUUAUAGGCUCUUACACAUAAUUUGCUUAUGUGAACCUAUGCAUAACUGAUUAUAUAUUUUACCAACACUGAAGGUAUGGAAAGCAAAGUUGAACUCAGAACGCUAUAAAGUAAGUAAAACUCCCCAGGACACUACUGUCUCAAGUCCUUGGACUCAUAGAACCAGUUGCCCAAUUCCCAUAGUGUAUAAGUGAGCGAGAUCACAAUACCUCUCGAACACCAGUCCAUUGCAGGGUUAGCGUACUUUUCCUUCAUUGAACACUAAACUUUACUUGUGAAGGCCUGUUGAGGCAAGUGAAAUCGAAAUCAAAUUCGUUGACUGGCAUCCAUGCUAGUGGAGCACUAAGAGUACCAUACGAGCGUGAUCAUUGCCAGAGCAACAAGCUGGCCUCCAUGCCAGUGGCACAUAAAAAACACCAUUCAAGUAUGAUCGUUACCUGCAUCACCUUACUGGUACUUGUGCUCAUGGCACAUGAAAAAACAUUCAAGCGAGGUCGUUGCCAGUGCCACUAGACUGACUCCUGUGCAGGUGGCACAUAAAAAGCACCAUUUGAGCGUGGCCGUUGCCAGAACCACCUGACUGGCCCCCGUGCCAGUGGCACGUAAAAGCGCCCACUACACUCUCAGAGUGAUUGGCAUUAGGACCAAAAAGACACUUGGGUUUCAGUUGCACAAGAUCUUGAAUGUGUCGAGAAUGAUGAAAAUCUUUUGAAAACUUUGCGUAGGCCUCUGAGCAGGUAUCACCAAGCUUUUGGCAAAAUUUGAUGCAGAUUCUCUGCUCAACUUCCUCUGUCAUGGUCAAUGCGAUGAUCACAUGCUACACACCUUCCUUCCAAGCACUGCUGUAAAUAGCGGAAAUGAGUUAGAAUGUUAAAAACUUAGUGCACAUGCACAGUAAAGUUCAAGGUCAACUGUGUCAAGCAGCUUCACACUGCGUACUUUAGCUUUUCUACAAUGGCAACAGUCCGGAUACUUUUGAUCAGACCACAUGUGCUGGAACAAAAAACAGUGGGACCAAGAUGUAAAGGUAAAAAGGAGGUGAGUGAUAGAAGAGUAGAAGAGCUGGUGGAGGAAGGGGGAUAAAAAAGGGAGAUAACAAUGACAGGCACAUGCUUGCUGGUGUGUAAAAAAAAUCAGUUAAAAUACUAACAGUAUUCUGGGCCUUUGAAAACCUAUCUCAUUCAUGAUAGCAAAGAAAAAUGAAUUUAUGGUUGAUAAAGACACAACACUCAAUAUGUGGGAGACCUAAUACAUUGUCUGGUUUAAUACCAGUUUCAAAUUUUGGCACAAGGACAGCAACUUUAAGGGAGUGGGUAAGUUGAUUAUAUUGACUCCCAGUAAUCAAUCGGUCCUUAUUUUAUCGACCCUGAAAGGAUGAAAGGCAAAGUAGACUUCAGUGGAAUUUGAACCCAGAAUAUAAAGACAGAUGAAAUGCCGCACAUGGUUCCGGGUUCAGUCCUACUGCAUGGCACCUUGGGCAAGUGUCUUCUACUAUAGCCUCAGGCUGACCAAAGCCUUCUGAGUGGAUUUGAUAGACGGAAACUGAAAGAAACCCGUCAUAUAUGUGUAUAUGUAUAUAUGUGUGUUUGUGUGUCUGUGUUUGUCCCCGCUCCCCAAUAUCACUUCACAACCGAUGCUGGUGUGUUUACGUCCGCGUAACUUAGCAAUUCGGCAAAAAGAGCCCGAUAGAAUAAAUACUAGGCUUACAAAGAAUAAGUCCUGGGGUCAAUUUCCUCGACUAAAAGGCCGUGCCCCAGCAUGGCCACAGUCAAAAGACUGAAACAAGUAAAAGAAUAAAAGAGUAAAGCAUUUUACCCAGCGUGGUAACAGUUCAACCUGCUCGCUACACUAUUUGUCUGGUUUAAUAUCACCAACUGAUUAAACACCACCUUGUCCUUUGAGUGACUUUAGAAAGCAUUUUGAUUAGUUCUCAUUUUCCUCCCUACCUUGUAUUUUCCUGGAAACAUUAGCCCACACAUCAGUAUGACCAGCCUGAGGGGGCCCGGCAAAGACCAAGGACACCACUACUCUUUCACCACCCUUGACUAUGCGAUUAGAAGCAGAACUUCUCUUCUUAAUAAAAUCACACCAGCAAAACAUUAAUAUAUCACAUGCUGUAACUGUGUGGCCUCAAUCUGUCUGGUUUUAUAAUAUAACACAAUUGCCAAAGGAUCAAAGUGAUAAGCAAUCUCAGAGCUUUAUAAUACCUUCAUGACAAAUUCCUCAAAACAAACUCAGACAACCCCCCACAUACAAGAACAUAUCUCCACCCACAACAACCUUCUGUUUGAAUGCAACAUGGAGUUGACAUUCACAUACAAAAUCAUGCAGUGUUUCCCAAUUAGGUGCAGUGAUUUACAUGUUUAUACUUGACUAUACAAUGUCUCCAACUACAGGACACCACCUAUAUUCAGAAUGGAAUAUAUCACAAAAGAAAGUAUGAGAAAUAUCUAGAGACUCAAAAAUAAAGCAGUUUUGUUUCACUUUUAUUGGGGAAUUUUUUUUUACCUAGAAAUACUUUUGAUUUUCAUUUAAAUAUUUACAGUAAGUUAUAUAUUUCCUAGGCCUUGAUAGGCUAAAUCAUGUUGUAUAGAGAUAGAUAUUGUGAGAUAUAUAUUAACCUAUAUGUAUUUAAGCAAACAUUGGUACUUACACACACAUUCAAAUACACACAUUCAUAUAUAUUGGGUUGUCCAGAAAGUUCGUGCCAAUUUAUAGUAACUUACCUUUCGACUUAUUUUAGAACGUGGUUGAGUCCAUAAAAUAGGAUUUGACUGCACCUCCAUUUAGAGCACAGUUUAAGCUAUCUUUUCAUGGAAGAAGGUUUAUGUUCCUAUAACCUGUGUUAAUUCUGUAACCCUUUAAAAUGGAAGAUAAUAAAGUUUAUUUUCAGCAACUUGAUGCUUUGGGAACCAGACAAAAAUUGCUGCAGUUCGGCUGGGAUGUGUUACCCCACCCUCACAUAUUCACCAGAUAUUGCUCCUUUCGGAUUUCACUUAUUCAGGUCUCUGCAGAAUAGUCUUAAUGGUAAAAAUUUUAAUUCCUUGGGUGAUGUAAAAAGAUACCUUGAUGAAUUCUUUGCCAUGAAACCACCUCAAUUCUGGGAAGAGGGUAUUUUCAAGUUAAAGGAAAGAUGGAGAUGCAUUGUACAACAAAAUGGUUCAUAUUUGGUUGAUUAAAAAUGUAAUGGCAAGUAUUUAUUGACCUUGUUCUUUCCUUUAAAAAUUGGCACAAACUUUCCGGACAACCCAAUAUAUAUUAUUAAAAAAAAAAACUGGCUGUCUGUUGAUUAAGAUGAUGAGGGGUUUCAGUUGAUCCAAUCAAUGGAUCAGCCUGCUUAUGAAAGUAACGUGACAUGCAUACUCUUAAUGUAGUUCACAGGGAGAUUCAGUGUGACACAGAAUGUGAUGAAGCUGGCCCCUUUGAAAUACAGGUACUACUGAUUUAUAUGCAUGCACACACACACACACACACACACACAUAUAUAUAUAUAUAUAUAUAUCUAUAUCACGUGAUCCCGUGACCGACCAGACCAUCAGACGUUGUUACACAUCGCUGGUCACAAUGCAUUUGCAUUGUUUUAGCCUUCGAAUGACGCCACCCCGCUGGCUAAGCGAGCAGGCCAACAGAAGAAAGAAUGAGAGAAAGUUGUGGUGAAAGAGUACAGCAGGGAUCGCUACUCCCUGCCGGAGCUUCGUGGAGCUUUUAGGUGUUUUCGCUCAAUAAACACUCACAACGCCCGGUAUCUUUUUACAUCAUCCAAGGAAUUGAAAUUUUUACCAUAAAGACUAUUCUGCAGAGACCUGAAUAAGUGGAAAUCCGAAAGAGCAACAUCUGGUGAAUAUGGAAGGUGGGGUACCACAUCCCAGCCGAGCUGCAGCAAUUUUUGUCUGGUUCCCAAAGCAUCAAUAUUUAUAUUGAUAUACAUACAUACAUGCCUAAUAUAAAUGAUAUAUAAAUAUAUGCAUAUAUACAUAUAUAUAUGUACAUACCUACAUAUAUAUAUGUAUAUAUACAUGCAUAUAUGGGUACAGGACAUGAAAAAAACGUUGAACACAAUGAGAAAUGAAAAUAUGAAAACAAGGGUAGUAAAGAAAUAGGUAUAGUGAAUGGGUGGGGGGGGGGUGAUGUGGUUUGUAAGACAUGGGGCAUCAAUUGCAGAUAUGAGGGAGUGUUAAAGAUGAUGUAAGUCAGUCCCUAAGAUAUAGCUCAGACAAGAGGAGAGACACCUAGUGGCAUAGAAAAGAGUGAUCAGUGAAAAAAAAAAGUGGGAAAGACUGAUAUUGAGAAUGAUGGAUGGAUUUUAAAGGAAGUGGUUCUUAAGAGCGGGGAAGGUCACUUGUAGCACAAGAGGAAGAAAUAUUGGCUGAUUCUGUGACCAUCUGAUUACGGCAGCUGAAUAAUGCCAUUAUUAGAAAAAUAAUGUGGGGAUGGAUUAGGAAGAUAAAAGGCAAAGAAGGUUUGAUGGGGACAGAUUAGGUGCAAGAGCUGAGCCCAGUGAGUGUAUAAAUAUAAACCUUUGCUUUUAGGGCCUUCCUUUUUUCCAUAACAAACUGGCUUUAUUGAGCACAGCAAAAUGCCAAUCAUGUCGGUCCUUUGUCCCCUCUGUGAGGCUCAACAUCUUGAGGUCAGCCUUUGCUAUUUCAUUUUGAUGCCUUCCUCAGUCCCCACCUUCCCACAAAUUCCAUCCACUUUAAGCAAUUAACACUUCUUUAUACAGUUGUCAUCAUUGUUACACGUCACAUGACCAUACCAGUGCAGCUGUCUCUCCUGCACAUUACACCUGAUUCCUCUUAUGCCCAGUUAUUCUCUUUAUACAUUCGCACAGUGGCAUACAAGCACACUCAUGUUGCACAUUCAUAGGAGCAGACUAGUUUAAUUCGUUUCUAAUCUUUUCAUGUCCUCUGCAUUCAGGGUCCAUGGCUCACUAACGUGUAACAUUGCUCUUUAUACAGAAGCAUUGUAGGACCCAUCUUUCACUCAAAGAGAGACAGAAAUUUUUUGUUACCAGCGUAGAUAAUAAUAGCUCCUUGAACUUCCACCAUCCUAUUUCUUAUUCUAGCAACUAAUACUUUCGGAACAUCCUCCUCCACUACAAAUUAGGUCACCUAGAUAACAGAAACUAUCUACUUCCUCUAGAGAACCUCUUAGACAUUUGAGAGAAUCUAUUUCCCGAGUGCACUUAAUGCUUAUUGUCAUGGCACAUUUGCCGCAUGCAGAAUUUACUUUAUCUAUUAACCGUCCUGCAAUUCUACUGUGUCUCUUGUGUGUCCAUGGCUUGCACUGGGCUCAUUCUAUGAAAUUUCUACCAACACUUUUGCUUCCAACUGAGCAGAGUCUUUUUUUCUGAAGAGAGUAAAGUCCAAUCUGUUUUCUUGCUUUCUAGAACUUCCCCUUUUACUAAGUUAACUUUAAGAGUCUUUGAUUCCAGGUCUUGAAUCAUCCACACCUGGAAUUUCUCUAGUUCUACUACAGACUCCACAAUAAAAAUGAAUAUUUCCUGAGGGCAACUAUACAUACUUAUAUAUAUAUAUAUAUUAGGAUAUGGCUUAAUCAUACGUACAAUCUGUAUCAAGUUGUACAGGAAGAUGUCAUACCCAACAACUGGCAUAGCAGUAUUAUAGUCAAAUUAUAGUUACAAGGGUAAAGGAAAUGCCUUGGAUGGUCGCAAUUAUAGAGAUAUUAAAAUGCUGGAUCAGGUCAUAAAAGUUAUGGAGUUAUAUAAUCCAAUCAGUUAUGAGGAGAAUUAAUCCAGAUGAGAUGUAGUUUAAUUUUGUGUCAAGGAGAAGUACUUUUUUAUGACCUUGAGGUCCAUAAGGGUUAGAGGGGACAGACAACUGAGCUCUGGUAAACUUCUACCUGCACACUAAACUUGCUGCUGUAUUUGUUACUAACUCUCAUUAUUCUGAUAGUACCCCUGUACAUGGCUCUCACAAGCCAUCCAUUUACUCUUAGCUUCUUCAGAAACCACCGGGUUAUAGAGAAAGGGAUUUGACAAAAACCAAGUAUCGUAAAUCCUUGAGUAUAAUCCACAUUUUUUUUCCUAAAAUUUAAAGGUCAAAAUCCCUAGUGUGUACUAUAUAUGAGGUUAAAAAUGAAUAAUAUUUUCUAAGCAAUGUCCGAGUCUCUAUUUUUGCUGUCCGGCAAUGUUUAUUCAGAGGCAUUUUGUGAUGUUGGGCACGAAAAUACCUUAAGCUAAGCCUGAAAGCAAUGAAGUCAUAAAAGAAUCAUCCAUAACUUGCAGUAAGCAACAUUUAUUAAACAUUUAUUAUUACUGUUAUUUCUUUAUUUUCUGAAAACAAAAUGCACAAAAAAGCUACAUGUUUGCAUUAUGUUAUAUAUACAAUAAUAAUAAAGGAUGUUACCAUAUAGAGUUUUACAAACCAAGGACGUUAUAUAGACCUCCUUGACUCAAGUUCGAGAAGGGGUGCAUAUUAUACACAAAGUUUAGGUUUUUCAGAGGUACAGUCCCCUAAAAUCCCCUGCGUAUUAUACUCAAGGACAGACUAUACUUGAAGAUUUACAGUAAAAAUUGCUUGCUUUUCACUAAACACUUCUCCCCCAGUCAUAGUACUUCUCCUUGACACAUAAUUAAACUACAUCUCAUCUAGAUUAAUUAUCCUCAUAACUGAUUGGAUUAUAACUCCAUAACUUUUAUGACCUGAUCCAGCAUUUUAUCUCUAUAAUUGCGACCAUCCAAGGCAUUUCCUUUAUCCUUGUAAAUAUAAUUUGACUAGAAUGCUGCUGUGCCAGUUGCUGGGUAUGACAUCUUCCUAUACAACUUGAUACAGAUUGUACGUAUGAUUAGGCCGUAUCCUACUUCCCCAAUUAUUUUAAGUAUGUCAGUGGUAAUAAAAAUCAACUAGCUGGUCUGUUUCAGAGAAAUUUCAGGUUGGGCUCACGAAUGGUUUCCUGAAAUCCCUGGCCAAGCAGUGCUACAGGGAAAGGGGGAUUGCCAGUUUGAGAUAAACUCUACAGAGACAGAGGUAUCAUCAGCUGGGCCUCUCCAAGAUGCAUACAGAGCAAUGAAGCCAUUCUGCAUGCACUUUUCUAAUGCUCAACCAUUGCUAACUUGUGGAGUUAUGUCAAUCAGUUAUGUCAAUCAUCCUGUAGGAUGAAUCCCUCUAUUUGCUGAGUCCAUUGUGAAGAUUGUCCUGCCAUCUACUUUUGGCAGGGUUUUAUCUGUCUGGUGGCUUUGAUAAAAGAGAUUGCGUGAUGAACAAAACUGAAAGGGCUAAAGACAAGCUUGUUCCUCUAUGGUCAAGCUAUUUCUUUACUACCCACAAGGGGCUACACACAGAGAGGACAAACAAGGACAGCCAAAUGGAUUAAGUCGAUUAUAUCGACCCCAGUGCAUAACUGGUACUUAAUUUAUCGACCCCGAAAGGAUGAAAGGCAAAGUCGACCUUGGUGAAAUUUGAACUCAGAACGUAACAGCAGAUGAAAUACCUAUUUCUUUAUUACCCACAAGGGGCUGAACAUAGAGGGGACAAACAUGGACAGACAUAGGUAUUAAGUCGAUUAUAUCGACCCCAGUGCUUAACUGGUACUUAAUUUAUUGACCCCGAAAGGAUGAAAGGCAAAGUCGACCUCGGCGGAAUUUGAACUCACAACGUAACAGCAGAUGAAAUACUGCUAAGCAUUUCGCCCGGCGUGCUAACGUUUCUGCCAGCUCGCCGCCUUUUGCCUACUGACCUGUGCUCAACCGCCAUUGGCAAGGAACCCUUCUCCACUUCGGUCUUUAAAGGUCUCGUUCGAAUAUUUGCUACUACCCCCGAGAUCUGCACCUGCGGUCAGCUUCACCUGGGCUUGCGCCCGCAGCUUCCAUACAAGCCACGGCCGUCUAUGGUCAAGCUGUCAUCGACUUUUUCAAGUUUCUCUUGGAAAGGAAGAUGAAGGUGGAAAGGGAAAAUUCUACUUCCAAGCAAAUUUGUUGAAAAGUGGAUGAGAAUGUUGAGCUUGGUCCAGCUGAACACGGCUGCUCUGAGCAUGUAACUAUCAAAUGGAGAAGGACAGCAAGGAGAAAUCAUUGCUUGGGUGAUCAGAGAGGUAGUGGCUCUGAGAGGUUUUCACAAGUGGUCCUUGGUAUUAUUCUCUUCCCCUUUCAGAUAAAUUUUCUUUGAACAUUUUUUUCCUUUAAUUUUGUUAUUUCCCCUUCUUUUUUUUUAUAUACUUUUUAUGUAAUGCCAUACUGUAUCGUCCUGCACCAUCCUCGUUCCUUUUAACAAUACUGGACUUGAUAAAGAAAAACAUUACUAUUAGUAUAGCAUGCCGGACAAGGUGCUUGGUGACAUUUCAUGUAGCUUUAUAUUCUGAGUUCAAAGGAUGCCAACACCAACUUAACCAUUCUGCCUUUCAGAGUGGAUAAAGUACCAAUCGAGAACUGGGGGGUAGUGUAACUGACUAGCACCUUCCCCACAACAUUUCAGGCCUUGUGCCUAUAAGUAGAAAGAAUUAUUAUUAUUAUUAUUAUUUAUGUGGGGGUGGGAUUUAUCUUUUGUGACAUAUAAAAAAUUCCUUUUAUCUUUCUCCUCCUCCACAUCAUUAAGUAGUAGUAGUAGUAGUAGUAGUAGUAGUAGUGGGAGGAGGAGGCGGGAGAGUACCAACAUCUCACUAACUCUCAAUGAAAGUAAACUCAGUUAACCUUUGCCCACUCCUUAAUACAAUGAGUACAGCAGAGGAAUGUCACCUCAUUAUGAAACAAAGCAAAUUUACAGAAGUCUUAUACAAAUAGAAAUAUUUUCUGGCUUGUUACAUCUCUGAAGUUGUACAGACAAGUUAAAAAGUGAGUUUCAAACAAGACCUUACUUCGUAGAAAAUUUUUCUUAAUAAUAUGGAUUUAACCUCUAAAUUUAUACAAUUCAGAGCAAAUUUCCAUGUGUAAUCUGUUCAAUGAAAUGAUAUGCAAGUGUGACAUGUAGUGAAUACACACACAAAUACAUACACAUAGCAAGUGUAUACAUACAUGCACAUACAGUAUAAACAUAUACAUAUACAUAUGUGUGUGUGUGUGUAUGUAUGUAUUUAACACCCUCUCAUAUCCGCAGUUGAUGCCCCACCCACACCAAAAUGUAUAUGCAUAUACCAGAGGAUCAGUUAAUUAUGAUUUUAUUCAACAUAUUCCCCUCUCAGAGUCACACACUUGUUGCAGAGGUCCUUGAGAUUUUCUAAGCCUUGUAUAAAAGAACUUGGAUGGUUGGGCCUCCAGCCAGGCCUAUCAUGAUACCCUUAAAGCCAGGAGCUUUUCAGCCCCUCUUGAUAUCUCAUACAUAUAUACAUACAUACAUACAUACACACACACACAUACAUACAUACAUACACACACAUACAUACAUACAUACACACACACACAUACAUACAUACAUACAUACACACACACACAUACAUACAUACACACACAUACAUACAUACACACACAUACAUACAUACAUACAUACAUACAUACACACACAUACAUACACACACAGAUACAUACAUACAUACAUACAUACAUACAUACAUACAUACAUACAUACAUACACACACACACACAUUUUAUGUGUGUGUGUUGUGUAUUUUAUAUAUAUAUGUGUGUGUGUGUGUGUGUGUGUGUGUGUGCGCGUGCAUGUGCGUGUGUAUAUAUAUAUAUAUUCUGUACAGGAGAGAACCGGACCAUGCAAGCAUGGAAAAUCAACUUUUGAUUGGGGGAUGGUAUAUUUUAUGUGUGUGUGUGUGUGUAUGUGUGUAUAUAUAUAUAUAUAUAUAUAUAUAUAUAUAUAUAUAUAUAUGUAUAUAUAUAUACCAACUGCAGAUUUCUUACAUAUGUCAUGUAGAAAAUAAUGGCAGAGGGUGUGGUGGAUGUUGUUAAGCAGUGGUAAAAUGUGAAUAGUUGUGACACAGGGUGUGGUAAAACGAACAUUUUAAUACACAAAGGAGUACUGUGUAUUGUAUGAAAACAGGGUGUGGUGGACAUUAUAAUAUAGUGUUCCUAUAUAAGAAAUAUAUUCCCUCAAAAGCUCAAAAAUGCUCCCCAAGAAGUAUUUGAUAGCUUUUGUUACCUAGGUGACCUAAUUGCAGUGAAUGUCUCACUGCCCCUCCACUCUCGUCUAAAGCUUAGAUGCUAGACUUAAAAUAUGUUGGGAAAAACCGUGUUCAGUUACGUAUUACCUCUGCUGGUAACAAAGGCGUAUGUCCUCCAAGUGAAGGACAGAUUGUAUGUCACUUAAGUAUGAGGUGUGAUGUUACAUAGUAGCAACACAUAAGCCUUGAAAUGCAGAUGGUUUCUGAAGAGUGGGAGAAAGCGAGGUGAAUAUGCUCCACCGGAUGUGUAAUGUUAGAAUUGCGUAAUGGAAAGCAGAAAUGAGCCGUGAGAAAAACUGAACAUAAAAAGAAACGGGAUGUGGUGUGCAAGACAUAAAGGUCGUAUAAAUUAUGUAUAAAUCAUAUAUCAGUACAGGUAUGUCACUGAUAUAGCUGUGUGAGCCUUAUAAUGAAGUGCCUAGUGCACAGGUGAAGACUAGUGUCAAAGGGCUGAACCUCACAAAAGGUGCUGAUCAGUCAGUGUGGAAUUCUGUACAGGAGAGAAUCGGACCAUGCAAGCAUGGAAAAUCAACUUUUGAUUGGGGGUUGGUAUGUACAAUAUCUUAAUUUGGGUCUCCCCUCCUCAUUAUGCUCUUUAUUACACACACACACACUUUUUCUCUCUCUUUCCUAUUAAUCCCUCCUCCCUCUCAUUGACAGCCAAUAUUUUCUUUCUUUCUCUCUCUCCCAUUCUCUCUCUCUCUCUCCCCCAUUAUCUCUCUCUCUCCCCCAUUCUCUCUCUCUCCCCCAUUCUCUCUCUCUCUCUCUCCCCAUUCUCUCUCUCUUUCUCUUCCCCAUUCUCUCUCUCCCCACCUCUCUCUCUCUCUUACUAUCAUCCAUCACUCUGUCUCUCUCCUCCCCUUCAUCUGAACUCUCUUUCCUUACUCUAUCUCUUUCAUCACACCCUGUUUAUCUCCUGUCACUCUCAUUAUGAUGCCAUGCACUGUACUAAAACAGGAUAUGUUCAUGAAUAUCAUCUUUGAUCUCGUCCUCAUUGUAUGAGAUAUUUUGAGCCCACAUGAGUAACCUAGUGUACAUACUACCAAGGAGACAUUGAAACUUUUCCUCCAUAGCCCAGGUUUUGGCUCCACAUGUCCUGGAGACGGCCAGCAUUAGGAUAAAGAUAAAAAUCCUUCCUGAGUAAUAUAGACUCAUAGGGUCCAGUUUUCUGGUUUCUGCGGCAUUUAUCUAUUUUCCCCUGGAUGGGAUGCCACUCCCUCACAGGGUUACUCGCUUUCGUCAACUUAGUGAACUGGAGCAACGUGAAAUGACGUUUUCUGCUCAAGAACACAACCCACCACCUGGUCCAAGAAUCAAAACCAUAAUCUUAUGAUCAUGAACGCAAUGUCCUUAAAGGCUUAGCUACAGCACCUCCACUGAAGGCCAGUGUCUUUGACUCCCAAAUACUUGAUUACUGUAUAACUGAACUCUUCAACUGUGGGUCAUCAUUGGAACAAAUUAUCAAGUGGCUUUUGUCCUCAUUGAUGGUCAUGUAUUCACCCAUCUCUACUACUAUUUUUCAGUGCUGUUGGCAGACUUUGUUGCUUACUUCUAUCAUGCUGGGCAUCUGUAUUACAUAUCAUCAUCAUCAUCAUCAUCAUUUAAUGUCAAUUUUCCAUGCUAUGAUGGAGCUGCCAUGUCGAAGGGCUGCACUAGGCCCCAGUCGUCUGUCUUGGUGUCAGUUCUACAGUUUGAUGCCCUUCCUAACGCCAACCACUUCACAGACUGUACUGGGUGCUGUAUUUGUGGCACCAGCAUGAGGGCCACAUGACACAGUAACAAAGGACGAAGACCACUCAACUACAUUGAUGCCUUUGGCAGAAACACACAUGGGAUUAAGUAUCCACCAAAGCUAACCACAGAGAUUCCUUGUGCAGCACUUGAAGAAAAAUUACAUAAGGCCGUGUUAAGACAUUCACUUCCUAAUCAUGGGGUUUCAGGUUCAAUCCCAUUUGAGCAAGUGUCUUUGAUUCUAGGCCCAUGAUGACAAAACUCUUGUGAGUGGCUUUUGGAGAUAAAAGCUGGAAGUCCAUCAUGUAUGUAUGUAUGUAUGUAUGUAUGUAUUUUUUUUUAUUUGUGUCAGUCAUUUGACUGUGGCCAUGCUGGAGUACUGCCUUUAAUCAAUCAAAUCGACCUCAGGACUUAUUCUUGUAAGCCUAAUACUUAUUCUAUGGGUCUCUUUUACCAAACUGUUAAGUUAUGGGGACAUAAACAUACCAACAUCGGUUGUCAAGUGAUGACACACAAACAUAUACGUUCAUACAUACAUACAUACAUACAUACAUACAAACAUACAUGUAUAUGUACAACAGGUUUCUUUUAGUUUCUGUCUAUCAAAUCCACUCACAAGGCUUUAUUCAGCCUGAGGCUAUAGUAGAAGACACUUGCCCAAGAUGCCACAUAGUGGGAUUGAAACUGGGACCAUGUGGUUGGUAAGCAAGCUACUUACCACAUAGCCACUCCUGCACCUAUAUGUCUGUCUGUCUGUAUGUAUGUAUGCCUGCAUGCAUGUGUGUGUGUAAGUGUAUAUGUAUAUGUGGGUACGUUUGUGUGUGUGUGUGUGUGUGUGUGUGUGUGUGUGUGCGUGCACAUAUGUAUGUAUGUGUGUGUUGGUGUUUCUAUGUAUUGACAUUGUAUGGUAGUUGUUAAAUGAGUGUCACUGUCUUACAAAUGGUGUCAUCCAUUUCCAAUCUGUCUUCUAUGAAAACACGUCUAACAAUGGGGGAAUAUUACCUUACUUGGAAACAUGUAAGGGUUGGUGACAGGAAGGGCAUCCAGCUGUAGAAAAGCAGACUUGAUUAAUUCUCUCUGAGCCAUUCAAGCCUUGGAAAAGUGGACAUAUAUAUAUAUAUAUAUGUCCCUCUUUACCUCAACAUCCAACCUCCUCAUUCUAUAUCGAGUGAAAAAUGGUAUGGACGUUUUGUUUUGGUGUCUUGCUCUACUGUAUACGACUAUGAGGAUUUGCAUUCCCAACAAAACCCGUAUUUUUCCCAAACUUCUCAAACCUGCUAUAAUGUAAUACAUGUCUUUGGUGUGGUAAUUGUGCGUGGCUGAAGAAGGCUAUUGACAUACAUGUUACAUCAAUUAUGCAUUGAUAUAAACUGUCCAAUAAAGCCAGAAACAUAUGUACCGCUAAAUCCUUUGCAUCCUGUUUUUGUUUUGAUAAAUAUACCCUAUCACCUACACCACUAACUGGCAUAUCCAGGUGCUUACAGUUAUCAAGUAUUCACCCUGAAUUUGUUAUAUAUAUACAGGGUGUCCCAAAAGAUGUGUACACACUUUAACUGCUGAUAACUCACUUAAUUUUCAUUUUGUUUUAUUUCACCCGUUGUAGCUAAUGAAGGGAUCCAGACUAAGUUUUGGUGCAAAAGAAAUUUAAUCAAAAGUGCUCCUGAAAAUUUGAAAAUGCAGUCAAACUGCAAAGACAGUUUAGGAGGGAGUUUCAAAAACAUUCACCUAUGCAACUUGGAAUCACACAAAUUAGAGCUAAGUUUGAAGUGGAUGGAACUGUUCAGAAAUGUUCACAAGAAAUAUUCCCUGAGACCGUUGAUGUUGAUGAACCUCACAAUACAAGAAAGGAUACUAGAAAAAUAUUGCAAGAAUUUUAAGAAAAUCUAUGCAGCAAGCAGGCCGUGAGACAGGUAUCUCAAAAUCAAAUGUCCAUUGCAUUUUGAAGUGUUGUCAUUGGAGAAGUUACAUACCAAGAAUAGUUCAGGCUUUCAAUGAAGAUGAUCUGAACUGAAGAGUGGAGUUUGGUGAAUAGUACUUGGCAAGAUGUAUAGAAUAUGCACAUUUCCCAAUAAAGAUUGAAGGGAUAAGUCUACAUUUAAAUUAAAUGACUCGAGACCCCUGAGAUAUGCUGUGACUGUGAAGACCUGACAAAUGAAGUGAGUUCAUGGCUCGCAGGAUGGCCUGCUGUGCUAACCUUGGAUCAUAGAGUGACCCCGCUGUUCUUGAGGAGACCUAUUGAGUCAAGUACGUCAACAUCAAAAUAAAAAUCAAAUUGAAAUUGUAGUUAAGACACCCGUGCCGGUGACAUGUAAAAAGCACAGUCCGAACGUGGCAGAUGCCAGCGCCGCCUGACUGGCAUCCAUGUUGGUGACACGUAAAAGCACCAACCGAUUGUGGCCGUUUGCCAGUAUCCUUUGGUCCCUGUGCCGGUGGCACGUAAAAAACACCCACUACACUCACGGAGUGGUUGGCGUUAGGAAGAGCAUCCAGCUGUAGAAACACUGCCAAAUCAGACUAGAGCCUGGUGCAGCCUCCAUGGCUUACCAGACCUCCGGUUGAACCGUCCAACCCAUGCUAGCAUGGAAAACGGACGUUAAAUGAUAAUGAUGAACCAUCACAAUUGUACAUAUGAGGAACCUGAGGAACAGCAUGUUAAUUCCAGAAGAACAUCAUGUUAAUUUCUCAAGAGUUACUAUAAAGUGUGGCUUACCAUCAAAAGGAUUAAUUGGGCUUUUUCCUUUUUUAUGGUACUGUGAAUGGUUCUUCAAAUGUGGAGCCGCCAGUUUUUUUCUCAGAAUUUGUUUGGGAAUUUUUAAUUAUUUUAUGCACACUAUGAGACUGGAUGAGUGUGGGAUGACGUCAGCAGCUGGGUGCAUUGACCGGAAAUUGGGGCAACCAGAAGGGGUAGCCGUGAGGCGUGCGCAGGGAGCGGGGAUUUCAUCCUUUCCAACGAGGGUCGUCGAGGUGUUAAGACGUGUGAAGACGUUGCUAAGGUUGGGUGAAGCAGCUGCUAUCUUUAGCAUUCGGGUCAGGGCUGUGACGAAGGAUCCGUUACCACUGAAGGGUCUCUAUCAGAGCGAAGAAAAGGUAGGUGCCUUUAUAUAUCGACUAUCUCGCACACACUACAAUGAGAACAUUGAUUAGAAGGCUUUCAGUCUUCUCCAUCAAUGCGAGAAAUGUAAGAUCCAACUCAUAAAGCAAGUCAAGCUUUAAUUAGAUGUACCAAUAUCUUCUAAUCAUGAAAGGUGAUGCAGCUGUUUAUGUCAGACCCAAAAUAGAUGGAGGAGAAUACUAUUUUUAGCUGCUAGUUAUCUGUGAGCAGCUAUGGUGUAUAGUUUAUUGGUCAGUAUUACAUCAGCACCUGGUUGGUGAAGUAACUAUCUAUACUGCUUCCUCUCAACUGGCAGGUAUAAUAACCCACAUACUGUAUGUAUAUACUAAAUAUAUACAUUAUAUCCUUACUGUAUCUAAUCAGAUAUUAGCUAAAAGACAAAAAUCUGUCUGUCUCUUUGUCUCUGAACACAAGACUGUAAAUGUUCUUCUCUUUAAUGAUUUCUAUUGAUCGGUAACUUAAAAUAAAAAGGGAAUUACAGAAAGAUUAGUUUUUUCAAUUUUGAGGAAAAAUGUUCAUCUCAAUAAAAAAAAUGCACAAAAGGACAAUUUUACUAAGAUUUUUUUACCCCUAAGAUAUAUUUUAAACCAAAAUUAAAUUUUAAACACCAAAAUAGUAGAUUCUAAAUUUAGUACAUUACAACUUAUGUUGAUAUAUUUAUGUUAUAUUUGUAUUACACUGGUGACUUGAACAGAGUUCCUUAAUUUAUCAGUUGGCAUUUCUCAACAACCGUUUAAUACCAGGUAGGCUGGUAUCAACAAACAAGUGUAUAUGUCACUAUUCUUCAGACAAAUCAGCACUUUAGACCUGUUGCAUUGUGUCGUUGGCAGACUGUGUCAUUGGAUGUCAUAAGUCUAUUAUAGUGUUUCAUCAAUGCUGCUAUAGUAGACAAUGACGACAACAACGACAACUUUAUACAAAUACAUUUUGUCCAUCAUUCUUCUUCAACACACACACACACACACACACACAUAUAUAUAUAUAUAUAUAAUCAAAAUAAGUUCAGUAAAAUUUAGAUUCCGAUGAAUAUGGUACUUAAGUUAAAGGAACCAGAAUAUAGUUUGGUAUUAUCCAUACCAUAAUCACCCCAUUUUGAAUUAUAUGGAUAACACCAUACUAUAUUCUGGUGCCUUUAACUUAAGUACCAUAUUCAUCUGAAUCUAAAUUAUAUAUAUAUAUAUAUAUAUAGUUAAUCCAAACAAGAAAGCACAAAAAAACACAACAACGCGAGGACGUAGAACAAGUAUAGUAUUAUUGGACGUUCAGGAAAGAAGGAAAGAAGGAGGGUUUAACGUUUCGAGCGGAGCUCUUCGUCGGAAACAUAGGAGAAGGAAAGAUCCAGAGAAGGGAAGACAGAGGGAAAAAAAUCGCCAACGAUACACACGCGGUUACAUUUUGAAUAUAUAUAUAUAUAUAUAUAUAUAUAAUUUAUUUAAGGUCACAAUAUAGAUGUAUUAAAGCACUACUAAUUACUAAUAGUUUCAUAUGUUGAGAGAACUCAAACAUAUUCUUCAGAUGCAAAGCACAUAUCAUAAGGAAUUAAAGAAAUUAGUAGUGCUUUAAUACAUGUAUUGUGACCUUAAAUAAAUAAUAUUUAUCUCUCACCAGAUGGAGUACUUUUUUGUUGAAUUUUCUUCAUGGAUCAGUACAUUAUAUAUAUAUAUAUAUAUAUAUAUAUAUAUAUAUAUAGAGAGAGAGAGAGAGAGAUCCCUGGAGAUAUGCUGUGACUGCGAAAACCUGACAAAUAACGUGAGUUCAUGGCUGCUUCCUGCACCAGCUUCACAUAGCUGCCCCAGCCCAUCCAAAGUACCUUGGAUCGCAGGAUGGCCUGCUGUGCUUACCUUGGAUCAUAGGGCGACCUGCUGUGCUUGAGGAGACCUAUUGAGUCAAGUACAUCACUCUCUCAGUAUGUAAUUAUUGCUGUUGUUAAAUGAAAAAAAGCCAACACAGUUUGUCUUGGUGUGUGAUGAUAAAUUCUUCUGUUAAAUGUUUGCAGGUAUUGUUCACUUACACAGCCCAAGAAACAUAUUUUCAUUCAUUAAUACUAAUUGGCAAGCAGUAGUGUGGGGGACAAAAACACAUGCACACAUGAUGGGCUUCUUUCAAUUUCCUUCGACCAAAUCCACUCAUAAGGCUUUGGUUGGCCCAAGGCUAUAAUAGAAGAUACUUGCCCAAUGUGCCAUGCAGUGGGACUGAACCCACAAUCAUAUGGUAGGGAAGCAAGCUUCUUACCACAGCCACACCUGCGUCUGCGUAGGAUCAUUUCUGUCAUGCAUAGGAUCAAUAACUUUUCUGUCAAGCAACACUUUGAUCAAGCAUGUUGCAAGAUAUAUUUAAGGUUGGGGACAUCGCUUUGAAAGGUAAUCAAUAAAGAGAACAAUUUAUCAGAAAUAAAUACGCUGAUGACAUCGACAUUAAUUCAUUGAUGGUUCAACUUCCUGCAUUUCAGGAAGUCUUAUAAGACAGAGUUUUGUUAGUUGUUUAACUGACUUUGUAGAAUGCAUAAAUGAAACCAAAAAAAAAAAUCAUCUGAAAGCAAGCAUUUAAUAUUAGAGAUUUAUAAAAUAUAGGCAUAGGAGUGGCUGUAUGGUAAGUAGCUUGCUUACCAACCACAUGGUUCCGGGUUCAGUCCCACUGCGUGGCACCUUGGGCAAGUGUCUUCUACUACAGCCUUGGGCUGACCAAAGCCUUGUGAAUGGAUUUGGUAGAUGGAAACUGAAAGAAGCCUGUCGUAUAUAUGUAUAUAUAUAUAUAUGUAUGUGUGUGUGUGUGUGUGUGUGUGUGUGUGUGUGUGUGUGUGUAUGUUUGUGUGUCUGUGUUUGUCCCCCCCCAACAUCGCUUGACAACGGAUGCUGGCGUGUUUACAUCCCCGUAAUCUAGCUGUUCGGCAAAAGUGAACGAUAGAAUAAGUACUAGGCUUACAAAGAAUAAGUCCUGGGGUCGAUUUGCUCGACUAAAAGGCAGUGCUCUAGCAUGGCCACAGUCAAAUGACUGAAACAAGUAAAAGAAAAUUUGCCAACUUUUACUGGUAAAUCCUGAAAUAUCUGCUGUAGUUGAACAAGCAUUUUCUCUAACAAAAUGAUUAAUGACAUAUCUUCAGUCAAUAAUGACAAAAGUAGAUUAAAUUAUCUGGCUAUAUUUUCAGAUCAUAAAAAAAAAAAAAUGGGUCGGCAAAAUGAAUCUAAAAGCAGUUGCUGCUGAAUUUGUUUCCUAAAACGAGAAUAGGUAGAUUAUAGCAAGUGGAAUAAUAAAGUUUCAUUAUUAUGUCGUUUCCAUUCUGAAGAAUGGCAUUCUGUAAUUGCUUUUUUUCCUUUAUUUUUUGUUAUAUAUACAUCACAAGAUUCAAUCAAGGCAUUCUAAGUCUCCUAGUCAUAAAACAUUACAGACCACAGUCUCAGAGAAAUCAUGUAUUUUAUUGUGUCUGUAAGCUCAAGGAUUUCCUUUUUAACCCUUUGGCAUUUAAACCAGCCAUAUCUAGCCCGAAUCUUCUGCCUGUUUUGUGUUCAAAAUGGCUAGGUUUGGGCUCUUACACCUACCCUACAAUGUCAUUCUAAAAAUAAAUAAGCGUCGCCUCACUGGCACUUGUGCCGGUGGCACGUGAACAAAACAUUCCAGCGAGGUCGUUGCCAGUGCUGCUGGACUGACUCCUGUGCAGGUGGCACUUUAAAAGCACCCGCUACACUCUCGGAGUGGUUGGCAUUAGGAAGGGCAUCCAGCUGUAGAAACUCUGCCAGAUCAGAUUGGAGCCUGGCGCAGCCAUCUGGUUCGCCAGUCCUCAGUCAAAUCGCCCAACCCAUGCUAGCAUGGAAAGCGGACGUUAAACGAUGAUGAUGAUGAUGAUGAUGAUGAUGAUGAUGAUGAUGAUGAUAUAAUCAAAGUCUCAAAGAUAAUGUGUGAUUAAUUCAAAAUUAAGUGAAUAAAUAAGCUCUACACGUGACAAAGAAAUCUGAAUGCCUAAGGGUUGAUAUUAAUUUAGAUUUUUAAUGGAAGGCAAGGUUUUAUGAUAUCGGAAGAAUAUUGUCUCCUUCCAUCAUCUUUUUUGUUCUUUGUGUAGUUCAGGCUUCCGGAAGGCGAAGAGAGAAGACUUCAAGUACAAAUGCUAUUUACAACUGCUUUAUUUACAGGAUUCACAGGAUAAGUGUAGUUUGCUGCUCUCAGCCACCAUCUUAAGCUGUGUGCGUUGUGCAGUAGCUCCGAUAGUGUGGGCGCAAAUUGCCUCCAGCCAGUGGUGUUGUUCAAGCCAGCGCUGCUGAAAGUGGCGCCAAAAAGAGAGAGAUUUGAAUCGGGUUUUCUUUUUUAUAUAAAGUUUUCCAUCACGAACCUCGUUGUGAUCUCGCGCAAGGUAAAUGGAUGCAGGUGAGGUCUCGUUCCAGUCUCGGAGAUGGCAAUGGUUGCCGCAAGAUCUCAUCCCAUAAGGUGCUGUCUGCUUGUGCCGCUACACAUUUAAAGGCAACAAGCUUGCGGAAUCGUUAGGUGGACAAAAUGUUGCUAAACAUUUCUGACAACUUUGUGUUCUGAGUUCAAAUUCUAUCAUGGUUGACUUUACCUUUCAUCUUUUCGGGGUUGAUAAAACAAGUCCUUAUCAAGCACUGGGGUUGAAGUUGACUAGCCUCCACCCCAAACAUUUUUUCAGGCCUUGAGCCAAUUGCAGAAAGAAUAUUAAUUUACACUUAAAGGUGGUGAGAUGGCAGAAUUGUUAGCACGCCGGGCGAAAUGCUUAGCGGUAUUUCGUCUGCCGCUACCUUCUGAGUUCAAAUUCCACCAAGGUCGACUUUGCCUUUCAUCCUUUCGGGGUCGAUUAAAUAAGUACCAGUUAUGCACUGGGGUCAAUAUAAUCGACUUAAUCUGUUUGUCUGUCCUUGUUUGUCCUCUCUGUGUUUAGCCUCUUGUGGGUAGUAAAGAAAUAGGUAUUUCGUCUGCUGCUAUGUUCUGAGUUCAAAUUCUGCCGAGGUUGACUUUGUCUUUCAUCCUUUCAGGGUCGAUUAAAUAAGUACCAGUUACGCAUUGGGGUCAAUAUAAUCGACUUAAUCCGUUUGCCUGUUCUUGUUUGUUCCCUCUGUGUGUAGCCCCUUGUGGGCAGUAAAGAAAUGAGAACUGUUAGCACCCUGGACAAAAUGCUUAGUGGCUUUUCUUCUGGCUUUGUGUUCUGGGUUCAAAUUCUACCGAAGUUGACUAAAAUAAGUCUCAGUCUAGCACUGAAGUCAAUGUAAUAUGUAAUCAACUCGCCUCUUCCUCAUCAAACUUCAGGAUUUGGGUCUAUAAUAGAGAGAGCCUUAAUUUACAUUUAACCCUUUAACAUUUAAACUGGUCAUAUCUGACCCAAAUAUUCUUAUAUUAUGUUCAAACCAACCAGAUCCAGCCUCUCACACCUAACCUACAAUGUCAUUCUAAAGAUAAACACUCACAUCAUCGAAAUCUCAAAGCUACAAGAUAAUGCAUGAUUAAUUCAAAAUGACAUGAUUAACAAGCAAUACAUUUGACAGAGUAAACUGAAUACGAAAGGGUUAGACAUGAUUCCAAUGCUGUCAAUGGGUCUCUUCUUGCCUUCCGUCUUUUUUACAUUCUUAUAUAACAAAUGACGCAUAAUGCCCACCAAAUCCAAAAGUCAAGAAGGCAAAUGCAUUCUACAAAGUUUAAGCACAUACACACACACACACAAGCAUGUACACACAUAUGCACAUACACACACACACGUGCACAUACACAUACUCACACCCACACACAAAUUGCAGACACACACACACACACACACACACACUUGCACAUACACAUACUCACACCCACACACAAAUUGCUGGCACACACAUACACACACACACACAUGCAUGCACACACACUUGCACAUACACAUACUCACACCCACACACAAAUUGCUGGCACACACACACACAUACACACACACACACAUACAUACACACACACACACUGAGAAAACUAAUGACAGUAGUUUUCACUAUAAAACAAGCAUUUUGGAAGGAGAAAAUAUUGAUAUUUCUGUAGAAAAUAAUGCUGUUGAGAGUAGUUCUAGUGAUAUAUAUAGAGCUAAAGCAACAAAAACAACAAAACAACACUCGCGCGCACACACACACACACACACACACACACACACACACACACUCUAUUUCUUAAUGACAGAAAUUUGAGCUAGAGAUCAACUUUAGCUUUUGCCUUGCAAUUGAUAAACUUUAGAUAAAGAGCAUUUAGAUAAAAGCAGGAGUAAAUGGUAGCAUUAUGCCACGGAAAAUAGAAGGGGUUUUCCAAUAUGAAGCCAUCAGAGAAGCACAAGGGCUUUCCAAGAAACGGUGGAAGCCAACCCUUAUCAAUAUGGGGAAAUCUCCUAAACAGGAUAAUAUGUCGUUUGUUGCCUUUAAAUAUGUUGUUUUUAUAAAACUGAAAAUAGAAAAAGGCACUGAUUCACUUUAGAUAAGAUGGGUUAGUGCUUUGCACUUUAACGACAAAGUGAGGAAAUAAGCUGAGUCAGUUCAUUGCACUACUUAGAAUGAAGGAAAAUAAGGUUACUUUUGAAGCAGAAUAUGGACAGGUGGUCAGUGUUGAUGUGAAGUUUGGUGAUAUGAUGAGGCUGGAAAGGGUCUCUGUGGAUAUACAAAUUCUCAUGACACCACAAGACUCCAAAGUGAUCUGGAAAUUAUGUCUGUAGUGAGUGGUCAGACAAAGGCUUUAUGACAGAUCUUUUGUAGUAGAAAGCUUAACCCUUCAGUGUUUAAACCGGUCAUAUCCGGCUCAAAUAUUCUACAUGUUUUAUAUUCAAACUGGCGAAGUCUAGCCUUUCACACUCUAAAAAUAAAUAGUGACAUUAUUGAAAUCUCAAAGCUAUAAGAUAAUGCAUGAUUAAUUCAAGUUGAUGAUGAUGAAUUUGAAUGAAGAAGUAUUACAUUUAACAGAAUAAUUUAAACACUAAAGGGUUAAAGGCUACAUAUAUGGCAGUAAAGAUCAUUUAAGGGCUUUUUGUGCAGGAAAGAUAGGAAAGUUAAAAGAAGGAAAAACAGCAAUAUUAAUAGCAGGCCAUAUGGCUUGUUAUUCCUGGGCCAUCCCUGGGGGAAGAUCUGGAAACAUCGAGUGAAAGCACCUUGUUAUCAGUUCCAAGAGCCAAUUAGAAAGCUGUGAGGCCUUUUCUCCCUCAGUUACAACCAGCAGCAUCAUCUCUUUAUUGAGUGACAAUGAAGAGGAGAUAGAAAAUGAACAAGAGUGGUAGACUGCUAGAGAGAGCCAGAAAACCCAAGGGAAUGAAAAUGCUGCACCUCACACCAAGUUUCCCCCAAGAGAAGGCAAACAAAAAGUGAGGAAGAGCCUAUCUCUUCUGCAUGAUUGAUGAAAUUCAUAGUUUUGUACUUAACCAAAGAACUGAUGGCAGAUAUAAAGGAUCUACAUGACCACCUCCACACAAAUUUAGUAUGGAUUGGAGAAGAGAUAGGCUGUGGAACCUGAGAAAAACUCUUCAACAAUUCUCCAAAGAACUUUACCAUUACCAUGAUGUGAGCCUUUCUUGGCUCACAGCCAAAAUUGCUCACAGGAAUCUAUCUAACCCCAAAAUUGCUCACAGGAAUCUUCCUAAUCCCAAAAUUGCUUGCAGGAAUCUUUGAAAGGAGCAAUUAUGUAGACAAGGCCAGAAAAGAGGUGAUAGAGAGAAAGGACCAGAGUCUUAGAAAGUCCUGUUUUAAGCCAGUUGUGGGGUCCUUACCCAUGUGUGAAUGAAUUGCCCAAUCUGUGUUUCAGUUUAUGUUUUAAAUUUAAAUUGUAUCCAGUUUUAAUUAUUGAGUCUAUUAUACAAUCCUAUAUUAUUCUGUGUUUUAAUCCGUAUCAAAUUCUAAAUGUGAAGGCGCAUGGCUCAGUGGUUAGAGCGUUGAGCUUACGAUCGUGAGGUUGUGAGUUCGAAUCCCGGACUGGGCUGCAUGUUGUGUUCUUGAGCAAGACACUUUAUUUCACAUUGCUCCAGUUCACUCAGCUGUAGAAAUGAGUUGCGACGUCACUGGUGCCAAGCUGUAUCGGCCCCUUUGCCUUUCCCCUGGAUAACAUCAGUGGUGUGGAUAGGGGAGGCUGGUAUGCAUGGGUGACUGCUGGUCUUCCAUAAACAACCUUGCCCGGACUUGUGCCUGGGAGGGUAACUUUCUAGGUGCAAUCCCAUGGUCAGUGUCGUAACCGAAGUGGGUCUCAGAAAUUCUAAAUGCACUCAUUGUACAUUAUCCUAAUCAUCCAUGUUUUUUUAAACUUUGUCUUGUCCUUCAUUAAAUGUUUUUGUAACUCUGUACUUAACAUUUUAUGCAAAUGUAUGUCUGGGUCCCUGUGACCUAUAAAGACAUCACCAUCUUUAUCAUUGUCGUCGUCAUCAUCAUCAUCAUCAUCAUCAUCAUCAUCAAUAUCUGCUAUGCACUCCUUCUUUUAUCUAAAUGCCCUUUAUCUAAAGUUUAUCAAUUGCAAGGCAAAUGCUAAAGUUGAUUUUGUCAUUCAUCCCUUUGGAGCUGAUGAAAUAUAGUACCAGUCAAAUACUGGGGACGAUACAAUGACUUAGCCCACUCGCCAUAUUCAUAGCCAACCAAAACUGACUUUGCUUUCCAUACCCUUGGAGUGAUCAUCAUUGCAACCAUCAUCAUCAUCAUCCAUCAUCAUUAUCAUCAUCAUCAUCAUCAUCAUCAUCAUCAUCAUCAUCAUCAUCAUUGUUAUCUUCAAUGUUUUAACAUCUCUUUCUCUAUUCUGUCCUAGAUUAGACCAGUCUGCUGUGGAGUAUGCAACUCUGGAAUAUAUUCUGCGAGAGCCACUGUCCUGAAUUCUGGGACCACCGUUUUACUUAACGAAGAAUAAGAUUAAUAUCUGCAAUACAUUCUACAAACUUAAUCCCUUGUACCAAUGUGAGAGGUGAAAAAAAAUCACCAUUUUACACUGUUA
rnacentral:lncRNA from 1 species